rnacentral:rRNA from 1 species
GACGAACGCUGGCGGCGUGCUUAACACAUGCAAGUCGAACGGAAAGGCCCUGCUUUUGUGGUGUGCUCGAGUGGCGAACGGGUGAGUAACACGUGAGUAACCUGCUCUUCACUUUGGUAUAACUUCAGGUAACUGGGGCUACUCCCGUAUAGGAUCUCCCGCUGCAUUGUGGGGGUUGGAAAUUUUCGGCGGGUGGGGUUGGAUUCGCGGCUUAUCAGCUUGUUGGUGGGGUAGUGGCUUACCAAGGCUUUGACGGGUAGCCGGCCUGAGAGGGUGACCGGCCACAUUGGGACUGAGAGACGGCCCAGACGCCUACGGGAGGCAGAAGUGGGGAAUAUUGCACAAUGGGCGGAAGCCUGAUGAAGCAACGCCGCGUGCGGGAUGACGGCCUUCGGGUUAUAAACAGCUUUCGCCUGUGACGAAGCGUGAGUGACGGUAAUGGGUAAAGAAGCACCGGCUAAUUACGUG